UACAGUCGAUGGCUAACGGGUUAAUAUUCCCGUACUACUAAUUACUGUGAUGGGGUGACGGAGUGAUGAAAGCGCCGCGAACUGACGGAAUAGUUCGUUGAAGUACCUACCUAUAGGAUCUGCAGGCAAAUCCACAGAUCUUGGGGAAAUACGAUAGUACUCGGAGUCUUCGGACAAAGAGAUAGUGCGCCUAAGGGCUUCCAAGAAAAACCUCUAAACUUCAGGUAAUUAGUACCAGUACCGUAAACCGACACAGGUAGUUGAGGAGAGAAUCCUAAGGUGCUCGAGAGAUUCAUGGCUAAGGAAUUAGGCAAAAUAGACCUGUAACUUCGGGAGAAAGGUCGCCAGCGCAAGCUGGCCGCAGUGAAGAGGUCCAGGCGACUGUUUAUCAAAAACACAGGGCUCUGCAAAAUCGUAAGAUGAAGUAUAGGGCCUGACACCUGCCCGGUGCUGGAAGGUUAAGAGGAGAUGUUAUCUUCGGAGAAGCAUUGAAUUGAAGCCCCAGUAAACGGCGGCCGUAACUAUAACGGUCCUAAGGUAGCGAAAUUCCUUGUCGGGUAAGUUCCGACCUGUACGAAUGGUGUAACGAUCUGGACACUGUCUCAGCCAUGAGCUCGGUGAAAUUGUAGUAACGGUGAAGAUGCCGUUUACCCGCAGUGGGACGAAAAGACCCUGUGCACCUUUACUAUAGCUUAGUAUUGACCUUGGAUAAAUGAUGUGUAGGAUAGGUUGGAGACUGUGAAGUGGCGUCGCCAGGCGUUGUGGAGUCAUUGUUGAAAUGCAACCCUUUGUUUAUCUGAGGCCUAACCCCGUUUUGCGGGGGACAUUGCUUGGUGGGUAGUUUGACUGGGGUGGUCGCCUCCAAAAGAGUAACGGAGGCUUCUAAAGGUUCCCUCAGUACGCUUGGUAACCGUGCGUAGAGUGCAAUGGCAUAAGGGAGCUUGACUGAGAGACAUACAGGUCGAUCAGGUACGAAAGUAGAGCAUAGUGAUCCGGUGGUUCCGCAUGAAAGGACCAUCGCUCAAAGGAUAAAAGGUACGCCGGGGAUAACAGGCUGAUCUCCCCCAAGAGCUCAUAUCGACGGGGGGGUUUGGCACCUCGAUGUCGGCUCGUCACAUCCUGGGGCUGGAGAAGGUCCCAAGGGUUGGGCUGUUCGCCCAUUAAAGUGGCACACGAGCUGGGUUCAGAACGUCGUAAGACAGUUCGGUCUCUAUCUACUGUGGGCGUUAGAAAUUUGAGUGGAUCUGAUUCUAGUACGAGAGGACCGAAUUGGACAAACCUCUAGUGUAUCUGUUGUCCCGCCAGGGGCACCGCAGAGUAGCUACGUUUGGAAGGGAUAAGCGCUGAAAGCAUAUAAGCGCGAAACCCACCACAAGAUGAGAUUUCUUUUAAGGAUCGUGGAAGAUGACCACGUUGAUAGGCUAUAGAUGUAAAGGCAGUAAUGUCAUAGUCGAGUAGUACUAAUAAUCC
rnacentral:rRNA from 1 species